rnacentral:snRNA from 1 species
AUGCUCGCUUCGGCACAUACACUAAAAUUGGAACAAUACAGAGCAGAUUAGCAUGGCCCCUGCGCAAGGAUGACACGCAAAUUUGUGAAGUGUUCCAUAUUUUU